rnacentral:rRNA from 1 species
UACGAAGGGGGCUAGCGUUGCUCGGAAUCACUGGGCGUAAAGCGCACGUAGGCGGAUUGCUAAGUCAGGGGUGAAAUCCUGGAGCUCAACUCCAGAACUGCCUUUGAUACUGGCGAUCUUGAGUCCGGGAGAGGUGAGUGGAACUGCGAGUGUAGAGGUGAAAUUCGUAGAUAUUCGGAAGAACACCAGUGGCGAAGGCGGCUCACUGGCCCGGUACUGACGCUCAGGUGCGAAAGCGUGGGGAGCAAACAGG